GGCGAACGCUGGCGGCGUGCUUAACACAUGCAAGUCGAACGAUGAAGCCGGAGCUUGCUCUGGUGAAUUAGUGGCGAACGGGUGAGUAACACGUGAGUAACCUGCCCUUGACUCUGGGAUAACUGCUAGAAAUGGUAGCUAAUACCGGAUACGACCCUCGGAGGCAUCUCCAGGGGGUGGAAAGAAUUUCGGUCAAGGAUGGACUCGCGGCCUAUCAGCUAGUUGGUGAGGUAAAGGCUCACCAAGGCGACGACGGGUAGCCGGCCUGAGAGGGUGAGCGGCCACACUGGGACUGAGACACUGCCCAGACUCCUACGGGAGGCAGCAGUGGGGAAUAUUGCACAAUGGGCGCAAGCCUGAUGCAGCAACGCCGCGUGAGGGAUGACGGCCUUCGGGUUGUAAACCUCUUUUAGUAGGGAAGAAGCGAAAGUGACGGUACCUGCAGAAAAAGCACCGGCUAACUACGUGCCAGCCGCCGCGGUAA
rnacentral:rRNA from 1 species